AUGUUGCAAGGAAUUGGCGAUCUGCCAAGGUUUAGUUAGGUACUUGAAAAAGCAAAAGCAUUCAUUAUCUUUGUCUAUGGGCACACACGGACCUUGGACUGCAUGAGACACUUCUCUUCAGGGAAAGAGAUCAUAAGGCCAGGGGUCACUAGGUUUGCUUCUGCUUAUCUAACUUUGGAAAGCCUUCUAGAAAAAAAGGAUCAACUGAGGAAGAUGGUGGUUGAUGGUAGAUGGGACAAACUAAGAGAAGUUAAAUCAAAAAAAGGAAAGGUAGCAACAACUACGAUGAUGAGCAUGGCUUUUUAAUUCAACUCGAGAAUGAUGGCCAAGAAACAAAUGAUUAAGGAGAAGAAGAUCAUUGAUGUCCUCUUAUCCGCUGAAACUACCGAAGCUCAAGGUUUUCUUUUUGAGGGCGGAGAUGAUUAUGCAGAAAUCGUCUAUAGGGAUGAUGAUGAGGAGGAGAUGGAUAGUACAGGGAUGCCAGGGAGUGGCAUUGGAGAAGCAAUGGGAGUCAAUGAAUUGCUCGAGCCACGUAGAAGUGCAAGACUAAGACAACUUUAUGAAGAAGAAGAAUUCGAUUCUGAAGAAGAGGAGUUUGAUGAUGAUGAGGAGAUGCAUUCAGAUGAGGAGAAUGACUAUUGA
rnacentral:rRNA from 1 species